rnacentral:rRNA from 1 species
UCAUUACCGAGUUCCAGCAGCUCCCAACCCUUGCCAACCGUACCCCAGCCUGUUCUCGUUGCCUCCGGCGGGCGCGGGGGAGGGGGGGCCUCCGGGCCGCCUCCCCUCCCCCCCCCGCCGGGGGCGGCGAGCCCCCCCGAACCUCUGUAUCUCAACCACGCGAGCGCCGUCUGAGCACCACAACAAAAUUGUUAAAACUUUCAACAACGGAUCUCUUGGCUCUGGCAUCGAUGAAGGACGCAGCGAAAUGCGAUACGUAAUGUGAAUUGCAGAAUUCAGCGAACCAUCGAAUCUUUGAACGCACAUUGCGCCCGCCAGCACUCUGGCGGGCAUGCCUGUCCGAGCGUCAUUUCCCCCCUCACGCGCCCCCCGGCGCGCUGGUGUUGGGGCCCCUCCGCCUGGCGCGAGGGCCCCGAAAGCGAUUGGCGGGCCCGGCCGGCGGCCCCGAGCGCAGUACCGAGCCCCCGGCUCUCUCCCCUCGCUCGGGCGCCCCGCCGGCGCCCUGCCGUCAAAACGCGCCGACGCGCAACCGCAAGACAACAAGGUU